rnacentral:rRNA from 1 species
UACGAAGGGUGCAAGCGUUACUCGGAAUUACUGGGCGUAAAGCGUGCGUAGGUGGUUUGUUAAGUCUGUUGUGAAAGCCCCGGGCUCAACCUGGGAAUGGCAAUGGAUACUGGCAAGCUAGAGUGCGGUAGAGGGUAGUGGAAUUCCCGGUGUAGCGGUGAAAUGCGUAGAGAUCGGGAGGAACACCAGUGGCGAAGGCGGCUACCUGGACCAGCACUGACACUGAGGCACGAAAGCGUGGGGAGCAAACAGA